CUAUACAUGCAAGUCGAGCGGACAGAUGGGAGCUUGCUCCCUGAUGUUAGCGGCGGACGGGUGAGUAACACGUGGGUAACCUGCCUGUAAGACUGGGAUAACUCCGGGAAACCGGGGCUAAUACCGGAUGCUUGUUUGAACCGCAUGGUUCAAACAUAAAAGGUGGCUUCGGCUACCACUUACAGAUGGACCCGCGGCGCAUUAGCUAGUUGGUGAGGUAAUGGCUCACCAAGGCAACGAUGCGUAGCCGACCUGAGAGGGUGAUCGGCCACACUGGGACUGAGACACGGCCCAGACUCCUACGGGAGGCAGCAGUAGGGAAUCUUCCGCCAUUGACGAAAGUCUGACGGAGCAACGCCGCGUGAGUGAUGAAGGUUUUCGGAUCGUAAAGCUCUGUUGUUAGGGAAGAACAAGUGCCGUUCAAAUAGGGCGGCACCUUGACGGUACCUAACCAGAAAGCCACGGCUAACUACGUGCCAGCAGCCGCGGUAAUACGUAGGUGGCAAGCGUUGUCCGGAAUUAUUGGGCGUAAAGGGCUCGCAGGCGGUUUCUUAAGUCUGAUGUGAAAGCCCCCGGCUCAACCGGGGAGGGUCAUUGGAAACUGGGGAACUUGAGUGCAGAAGAGGAGAGUGGAAUUCCACGUGUAGCGGUGAAAUGCGUAGAGAUGUGGAGGAACACCAGUGGCGAAGGCGACUCUCUGGUCUGUAACUGACGCUGAGGAGCGAAAGCGUGGGGAGCGAACAGGAUUAGAUACCCUGGUAGUCCACGCCGUAAACGAUGAGUGCUAAGUGUUAGGGGUUUCCGCCCCUUAGUGCUGCAGCUAACGCAUUAAGCACUCCGCCUGGGGAGUACGGUCGCAAGACUGAAACUCAAAGGAAUUGACGGGGGCCCGCACAAGCGGUGUAGCAUGUGGUUUAUUUCGAAGCAACGCGAAGAACCUUACCAGGUCUUGACAUCCUCUGACACCCCUAGAGAUAGGGCUUCCCCUUCGGGGGCAGAGUGACAGGUGGUGCAUGGUUGUCGUCAGCUCGUGUCGUGAGAUGUUGGGUUAAGUCCCGCAACGAGCGCAACCCUUGAUCUUAGUUGCCAGCAUUCAGUUGGGCACUCUAAGGUGACUGCCGGUGACAAACCGGAGGAAGGUGGGGAUGACGUCAAAUCAUCAUGCCCCUUAUGACCUGGGCUACACACGUGCUACAAUGGACAGAACAAAGGGCAGCGAGACCGCGAGGUUAAGCCAAUCCCACAAAUCUGUUCUCAGUUCGGAUCGCAGUCUGCAACUCGACUGCGUGAAGCUGGAAUCGCUAGUAAUCGCGGAUCAGCAUGCCGCGGUGAAUACGUUCCCGGGCCUUGUACACACCGCCCGUCACACCACGAGAGUUUGUAACACCCGAAGUCGGUGAGGUAACCUUUAUGGAGCCAGCCGCCGAAA
rnacentral:rRNA from 1 species